UCGGUGACAGGUGGUGCAUGGUUGUCGUCAGCUCGUGUCGUGAGAUGUGGGUUAAGUCCGUAACGAGCGCAACCCCUAUUGUUAGUUGCCAUCAUUCAGUUGGGCACUCUAGCGAGACUGCCGGUAAUAAACCGGAGGAAGGUGGGGAUGACGUCAAAUCAUCAUGCCCCUUAUGACCUGGGCUACACACGUGCUACAAUGGUUGGUACAACGAGUUGCGAGUCGGUGACGGCGAGCUAAUCUCUUAAAGCCAAUCUCAGUUCGGAUUGCAGGCUGCAACUCGCCUGCAUGAAGCCGGAGUUGCUAGUAACCGCAGGUCAGCAUACUGCGGUGAAUACGUUCUCGGGCCUU
rnacentral:rRNA from 1 species